GCCGGGGUGGCGGAAUUGGUAGACGCGCCGGACUCAAAAUCCGGUGGGGUUAAACCCGUGAGAGUUCGAGUCUCUCUCCCGGCA
rnacentral:tRNA from 2 species